rnacentral:rRNA from 1 species
GACGAACGCUGGCGGCGUGCUUAACACAUGCAAGUCGAACGGAAAGGCCCUGCUUUUGUGGGGUGCUCGAGUGGCGAACGGGUGAGUAACACGUGAGUAACCUGCCCUUGACUUUGGGAUAACUUCAGGAAACUGGGGCUAAUACCGGAUAGGAGCUCCUGCUGCAUGGUGGGGGUUGGAAAGUUUCGGCGGUUGGGGAUGGACUCGCGGCUUAUCAGCUUGUUGGUGGGGUAGUGGUUUACAAAGCCUUUGACGGGUAGCCGGCCUGAGAGGGUGACCGGCCACAUUGGGACUGAGAUACGGCCCAGACGCCUACGGGAGGCAGCAGUGGGGAAUAUUGCACAAUGGGCGGAAGCCUGAUGCAGCAACGCCGCGUGCGGGAUGACGGCCUUCGGGUUGUAAACCGCUUUCGCCUGUGACGAAGCGUGAGUGACGGUAAUGGGUAAAGAAGCACCGGCUAACUACGUG